CACAAACACUGACUUAGCAUGGAAGACACUCACCAGGUCAUUCAAGGGCACCAAGGUGGAAAAUGUCCCCAUCCUCAAGAAACUCAGUCUUGGAGUCCAGCCACUAUGCUGUGGGGAAGCAAAGAAAGCUGUGGAGAGGCCACGUGGGGAGGAAUGCCAUCCUUAGCAUGGGCUGAGCUCCCAGGCAGCACCCAUCUCCAGACAUGCGAGUGAACAGGACUUCCGGCAAUUCCAGCCCCAGCCACUGAGUCACUUCCAGUUUCUCAGUGUUUCCAGGGGAGGCCUCAGACACUAUGGAGCAAAGAAAAUCUGACCCAGCUGUGCCCUGUCCAAAUUCCUGACCCAUAGAGAAU
rnacentral:lncRNA from 1 species